GCUUUCACUCUCGUCCUUCUCUCUGCCUCACACUCACACUCACACUCAGUCUAACUCUAACGCUUUCGCUCUCUGCCUCACACAAACCCUAGCAAUGUCUGCCUCACACAAACCCUAGCAAUGUCUUCCUCACACGAACCCUAGUGCUCGCUGCUUCCACACGAACCUAGCGCUCUCUGCCUCACACGAACCCUAGCGUUUGCUGCUUCCACACGAACCCUAGCGAUGUCUGCCUCACACGAACCCUAGCACUCUCUGCCUCCAUACGAACCCUAACGCUCUCUGCCUCACAAAACCCUACUCUCUCUGCCUCUCUCUGCCUCUACACGGAACCGAUUUGAAGGUA
rnacentral:lncRNA from 1 species